rnacentral:rRNA from 1 species
CCUACGGGAGGCAGCAGUGAGGAAUAUUGGUCAAUGGACGCAAGCCUGAACCAGCCAAGCCGCGUGCAGGAUGACGGCCCUAUGGGUUGUAAACUGCUUUUGUACGGGGGUAAACGCAGUUACGCGUAUCUGUUUGAAAGUAUCGUAUGAAUAAGGAUCGGCUAAAUCCGUGCCAGCAGCCGCGGUAAUACGGAGGGUUCGAGCGUUAUCCGGAUUUAUUGGGUUUAAAGGGUGCGUAGGCCGUAAGUCAAGCUAGCCGGUAAAUGGCGGGGGUCAACCCAGGCAUUGCAGUUGAAACUGGCGUGCUUGAGUGCGCGAGAAGUAGGCGGAAUGCGUGGUGUAGCGGUGAAAUGCUUAGAGAUGACGAAGAACUCCGAUUGCGAAGGCAGCAUACUGGGGCGCAACUGACGCUGAAGCACGAAAGCGUGGGUAUCGAACAGGAUUAGAUACCCUUGUAGUC